rnacentral:rRNA from 1 species
CCUACGGGGGAGCAGCAGUGGGGAAUAUUGGGCAAUGGGCGCAAGCCUGACCCAGCAACGCCGCGUGAAGGAAGAAGGCUUUCGGGUUGUAAACUUCUUUUCUCAGGGACGAAGCAAGUGACGGUACCUGAGGAAUAAGCCACGGCUAACUACGUGCCAGCAGCCGCGGUAAUACGUAGGUGGCAAGCGUAAUCCGGAUUUACUGGGUGUAAAGGGCGUGUAGGCGGGGACGCAAGUCAGAUGUGAAAACCACGGGCUCAACCUGUGGCCUGCAUUUGAAACUGUGUUUCUUGAGUACUGGAGAGGCAGACGGAAUUCCUAGUGUAGCGGUGAAAUGCGUAGAUAUUAGGAGGAACACCAGUGGCGAAGGCGGUCUGCUGGACAGCAACUGACGCUGAGGCGCGAAAGCGUGGGGAGCAAACAGGAUUAGAUACCCCUGUAGUC